rnacentral:tRNA from 13 species
GGUUCCGUAGUGUAGUGGUUAUCACAUUCGCUUUACACGCGAAAGGUCUCCGGUUCGAUCCCGGGCGGAACCA